rnacentral:rRNA from 1 species
AUGGACUGGCGGCGGGCAGGGAGCCCAACAUACGGCCGGCGACGCUCGCCAGCGGAGAUGUAUUCCGCCCCGGCGUCCCCGGCACACCCCCUGGGUCCAGCCACGUCGUCACCGGUACACCCUCUGGCGGCGCGGUCCAAGGCGCGCGCCGCGGCGGCGCUGGCGCAUGUCAUGUCGCGCCCAGGCGCGCGAGUCGCCGCCGCAGACUCCGACUCCGACGAGAACGGGUACGGAGACGACGACGGCAGCACCAACGGGCGUUACGGCGGCGGCCGGAGCCCCUUGCACGGGUACGUUGCAAAGAGCGCCGGCGGCGUCAAGGACAAGUUCUUCGGGAUGGCGUUGCCCAAGACACCACACGAGCUCAAGAUGAUGAUAACAUGGCCAUUGCCGGCGAGAGCUCGGACAAGACCACACAUGAGGCAAGAUAGGGGGAUAGCAGUCCGUACGGGGAGAGGAAGGGUCAUGGGGAGAAGAAAUUAUGUCUUGAAGAAUUCUUUCAUUGGUCCUUUCAAAAAAAAAAUCCAUCCGGCCGCUGCCGCUGUGCCAUAUGCGCACAAGGCCAGCAUGGCCCGAGCGUCUGGACCAGGCCUCAUCGCGCGUCCCCCAAUGGGCCUCCGCACCCGAGCUGACCUGGUCGCUCCGUCCUUUUGCUCGAGUCGCACGCCCACUGCGCUCGCGUGUCACGCCGCCGCCAGCCUUCCCGUCCGUCAACGCCAAAUUUCCAACCUGCCCUCUCUUUCCGACCCAAACGCGAGGCUCUGA